CCCUGUGGCUCAGUUGGUAGAGCAUGGUGUUUGCAACGCCAGGGUUGUGGGUUCGAUUCCCACAGAGGGG
rnacentral:tRNA from 1 species